GGGAGUGUUGCCUAGUGGAAAGAGCACUGAACUGGGACUUGGGAGAGCUGGGUUCAAUUCCUGGCUCUGCCA
rfam:Chelonia mydas contig85137, whole genome shotgun sequence.